AGUGAACGCUGGCGGUAGGCCUAACACAUGCAAGUCGAACGGCAGCACAGUAAGAGCUUGCUCUUACGGGUGGCGAGUGGCGGACGGGUGAGGAAUACAUCGGAAUCUACUUUUUCGUGGGGGAUAACGUAGGGAAACUUACGCUAAUACCGCAUACGACCUACGGGUGAGAGCAGGGGAUCUUCGGACCUUGCGCGAUUGAAUGAGCUGAUGUCGGAUUAGCUAGUUGGCGGGGUAAAGGCCCACCAAGGCGACGAUCCGUAGCUGGUCUGAGAGGAUGAUCAGCCACACUGGAACUGAGACACGGUCCAGACUCCUACGGGAGGAAGCAGUAGGGAAGAUUCGACAAUGGGCGCAAGCCUGACCCAGCAAUACCGCGUGAGUGAAGAAGGCCUUCGGGUUGUAAAGCCCUUUUGUUGGGAAAGAAAAAAAGCAGAUGAAAACCCCCCUGUCCUGACGGUACCCAAAGAAUAAGCACCGGCUAACUACGUG
rnacentral:rRNA from 1 species